GUGGGGAAUAUUGGGCAAUGGGGGAAACCCUGACCCAGCGACGCCGCGUGAGGGAAGACGGCCUUCGGGUUGUAAACCUCUUUUGUACGGGAAGAAGGAAGUGACGGUACUGUACGAAUAAGUCCCGGCUAACUACGUGCCAGCAGCCGCGGUAAUACGUAGGGGACGAGCGUUGUCCGGAAUUACUGGGCGUAAAGGGCGCGCAGGCUGUGCUGCAAGUCAGCUGUGAAAUGUCUGGGCUUAACCCGGGCAUGCGGUUGAGACUGCAGUGCUGGAGUGCUGUAGAGGCAAGUGGAAUUCCCAGUGUAGCGGUGAAAUGCGUAGAUAUUGGGAAGAACACCGGUGGCGAAGGCGACUUGCUGGGCAGCAACUGACGCUGAGGUGCGAAAGCGUGGGGAGCAAACAGGAUUAGAUACCCCUGUAGUCC
rnacentral:rRNA from 1 species